rnacentral:lncRNA from 1 species
AGGGGAUAGUGCAAUUUUACCAACCAAUUACCACUUGUAUGGUUUAAGUAAUUUACAUUAUUUUGGCAGCUGUUAUUCAUCCAUUUGCUGAGCUACUAGCAUAUUAUAUGCUCUUUGCCAUACCCGUGUUCACAACUGUAUUCACUGGGACUGUUUCAAUGGCUUCACUUGGUGCUUAUACCAUCUAUCUUGAUUUCAUGAACCUGAUGGGCCAUUGCAACUUUGAGCUAAUUCCUAAGUGGACGUUCUCUAUCUUUCCCCCGCUCAAGUACUUGAUGUAUACUCCCUCGUGAGUCUUCUUGCCCUGUAUAUUUUUUAUGAGUUUAAGUAACACUAUUUUAUACAACAAUGUCUCUAAUUAAGUAAUUAUAAGUAAAUUAAUCUUCUGAAAGAUCUCAAACUUGAUUUAGUUAUUUAGAUAUAGAUUCAAGAACACUUCAUGUUUGUGCAUAUCUAAAAGGCAGUACAGUGGACUGAUUAAGGUUACCAGAGAGAUGCAAAAUUGUACUUAGGUAUAUAUUGUCUGAUGCAAUAUCGAUAUGCAAAAAACAAAAGAUAAAGGAUAGAAGAAUGACACAAGAUGGAUAAGAGUUGAGAAUAAUGGUUACAUGACAACCGAUACCCCCAGUUACAAGACUCCAAAAGCACCAAUUCUAUAGAAAGCAUGACACAAGAAUGAGACUAAUAGGCAACAAUGGCUAUUAAAGCCAAAACCUCCUAUUAAGAACACCAAACAAGCACCUAUACUAUAGAGACACCCUCACGCCUCAAGAGGAAUGAUCCUCAAGCAAGUAAUCUCAUCAACAUUUCAAUCAACAAUGACCUUAGUCCGAACUACCUCAAGAGUAUCUCUAUUCAAAAUCAAUCUACGUCUAAAUGAGCUAUUCUCACCUAUUUAUAGUCUAGGCUAGCUAUUACAUAAAAGGUCCAAAAGUGGCACUUCAAAUAAUUGCAAAAACAAUCAAAAUCAGACUCCAUGUAGUAUGCGACGUAGCUUGUGGCGUCGCAUCUACCAUUUGCGGUCGCAUCCAUCUCCGCAUCUCGAAAACAAUGAGUCUUGAAGUUUUAGACUGAAUGCAACUCGGGUUGCAGUCACAACCUCUCACUUGCGGUUUAAGCUUAGCAUUUCACAUUGCAAGUGAGUCCUUUCUCCCUGCUCCAAGUAUUCCUCCAAGUUAGAGACAGGAUAGUUUUAUCAAAUUUAACUUCUGCUUCCAACUUUAGUUACUCAGGGAAAUAGAUAGAAACAAGAGAAAUUAUUGUCUCUUGUCAACUGUACUUUUCCUAGUCUAUAGGUUGGGCAGGUUAGUAAUAACAUGAAGCUCUGUAUUUGUGGUUGAUUAUUCUUUUGACACUAAUAUCAAUAUUUUGAUGGCACAGGUACCACUCACUACAUCACACUCAGUUUAGAACAAAUUAUUCACUUUUUAUGCCAAUGUAUGACUAUCUGAAUGGUACAGUGGAUAAGUCAUCAGACACGUUGUAUGAAAAGUCACUCGAGAGAGAAGCUGAAGUGCCUGAUGUGGUGCACCUUACGCAUCUAACAACCCUAGAAUCCAUCUACCAUCUUCGACUAGGGUUUGCAUCACUGGCCUCAAAGCCUCACGCCUCUAAGUGGUAUUUGUUGCUAAUGUGGCCCGUCACACUAUGUUCAAUAGUGCUUACAUGGAUUUACGGUCACACAUUUGUUGUUGAGAGAAAUUUGUUCAAGAAUCUCAAAUUACAAACCUGGGCUAUCCCGAAGUAUCGCAUACAAGUAAUUAAGUUAUAUUAUUAAAGAUUAUAGUUACAUUUUGCAGGUCUGUUGUUAAAGUGAUUAUUAAUAUAUCCUGAUUCUUUGUUUUGUUGCAGUACUUUAUGCAAUGGGAAAGAGAGAGUAUUAACUAUUUGAUCGAGGAAGCCAUCAUUGAAGCAGAUCAGAAAGGCAUAAAAGUGUUGAGCCUUGGACUCUUAAAUCAGGCAAGUCAAAAUAUGUGUUAAAAGCGUAAUACCACCCAUCCUUACUUUAUCUAUGAAAAAAAUGCAUGAUCUGUUCUUAACUGGUAAUUAUCUUGCAACCUUAUUGCAAAAUGUUUUGUACACAAUCAAAAGAUAUUGUUAUUAUGGAGAAAAAGAUUUUAAAAAAGAAGUCACCCCUCACCCUAUAUCAAUGUUUGUAGGCUGAACCAAUUAAAGAAGGUCAACUCAUACUUAUGCUUUAUUUCAAAUGUACUUUCCAGGAAGAGCAACUGAAUAGUCAUGGUGAAUUUUACGUAAAGAGGUAUCCACACCUGAAAGUGAAGGUGGUAGAUGGAAGUAGCUUAGCUGUAGCCGUGGUCCUAAACUCCAUUCCUGAAGGAACUUCCCAAGUUGUCCUUCGAGGUAGCUUGUCCAAAGUUGCUAACUCCAUUGCC